AUUUUGUUCAAAUCUACACACCUAUGGCUACUGAAAAAUUUUUCCUGUAGGUGAUCCAGACAGGCUGGGUGCUGGAGAGGGCUCUGGACUCCUAACUUCACUUCUCGUCUGUGCAGUCGACUCAGAAGCAUCACUUCAGUACUGAUUCCGUGAUCUGGAACAUUUUGAAAUCCUACCAGAUGGGGCACAAGUCAUUGAGCAGUGGCAGCUUCUGACUUCUGACUUCAAAGACUUUGUUCACCAGCAGACCCCUUGAUUACCUUUAUUUACAGCAUUUGCAUCUGUCAGUCUUUAAAGUGAUCUAAUAUGUAUUGACUAUGUACUAGCUUAGUACAUAUUAGUUUUUGUUAUUUUAGUUUCACAAAUUCAGUGGUUACCUGUAAUGCUCAAGAUAUACAAGUAAAAAAUCACCUUUA